rnacentral:rRNA from 1 species
UACGGGGGGGGCAAGCGUUGUUCGGAAUUACUGGGCGUAAAGGGCCAGUAGGCGGCCAACUAAGUCCGACGUGAAAUCCCAAGGCUUAACCUUGGAACUGCGUCGGAUACUGGAUGGCUUGAAUUCGGGAGAGGGAUGCAGAAUUCCAGGUGUAGCGGUGAAAUGCGUAGAUAUAGGAAGGAAUACCAGUGGCGAAGGCGGCCUCCUGGAUCGAUACUGACGCUGAGGCGCGAAAGCGUGGGGAGCAAACAGG